CCCUUAGAUGUUCUGGGCCGCACGCGCGCUACACUGAUGCAUUCAACGAGUCUAAAACCUGGUCUGAUAGGGCUGGGUAAUCUUUUGAAUGUGCAUCGUGAUUGGGAUAGAUGAUUGCAAUUCUUCAUCUUCAACGAGGAAUGCCUAGUAAACGCAAGUCAUCAGCUUGCAUUGAUUACGUCCCUGCCCUUUGUACACACCGCCCGUCGCUCCUACCGAUUGAAUGUUCCGAUGAAUACCAUGGACUGAGAGUAUGAAUGGGUUCGCCUAUUUCUGCUUCUCGAGAAGUGAAGUAAAUCUUAUCAUUUAGAGGAAGGAGAAGUCGUAACA
rnacentral:rRNA from 1 species